GGAGACGUCGCAUAGCGGUCUAGUGCGCUUGCUUGGAAAGCAAGUGUGGGGGCAACUCCACCAAGAGUUCGAAUCUCUUCGUCUCCGCCA
rnacentral:tRNA from 1 species